GAAUAUAAAUUUAUAAUAUUGAUUAUUAUAUAUCAUGCUUUUUACUAAUUUUUUUGAGGAUAAGCUCAAAAAAAAGUUAAGAAUUUUUUAAUUAGACUUACUGUAUAGGCUUAAAAUUGGCCACUAUAAAAGUUUUUUAUAAAAUAGUAACCUUAAUCUUAUAAAUAGAUAUAAUUUGAACUAACUUUUUACUGGGAUAAAAACUUUAAUUUAAAUAAGUUUUAUACCUAUGCUAGAAUGAGUAUUAAAACUUAAUUAUGAAAGAUUUGUUUAUAUCUUCUUUAAAAAAAUAAAUUAAAAAAGUUAAUUAACUAGAAGGAACUCGGCAAAUUUAGUUGUUUCGCCUGUUUAUCAAAAACAUGGCUCUUUGGCUAUAUAAAUAUAAAGAGUCGAACCUGCCCGGUGAAAAUUUUUAACGGCCGCGGUACUCUGACCGUGCAAAGGUAGCAUAAUCAUUUGCCUUAUAAUUGAAGGCUAGUAUGAACGGUUUGACGAGAACAACACUGUCUCCUUUUUAUUCUCAAGAAUUUAACUUUUAGGUGAAGAGGCCUAAAUUUCAUUGAAGGACAAGAAGACCCUGUCGAGCUUAAAAGACACUAUAGAAUCUUAUAUGCUUUUAAAUGAAUUUUCUAUUAAGCUUUUUAGUUGGGGCGACUAAGGAACAAAAAAAGCUUCUUAAGAGUAACGGACAAUCAUGUUUGGAUCCAGUAAAACUGAUCAAAGAAAUUAGUUACCGCAGGGAUAACAGCAUAAUCUCUCUUGAGAGACCUAAUCGAAAGAGGGGGUUGUGACCUCGAUGUUGGACUAGAAUAUCCUAAAGAUGCAGAAGUCUUUGAGG
rnacentral:rRNA from 1 species